rnacentral:rRNA from 1 species
GUUAAAGACCAGGGCUUAACCCUGGGAAAGCAAUGGAAAACUAGUAGACUAGAGUAUGGCAGGGGUAGAGGGGAANUUUCUAGUGUAGCGGUGAAAUGCGUAGAUAUUAGAAAGAACACCGGUGGCGAAAGCGCUCUACUGGACCAUUACUGACACUCAGAGGCGAAAGCUAGGGUAGCAAAAGGGAUUAGAUACCCCUGUAGUCCUAGCCGUAAACGAUGGAUACUAGAUGUUGUGCGUUAUGUACAGUGUCCUAGCUAACGCGUUAAGUAUCCCGCCUGGGGAGUACGCUCGCAAGGGUGAAACUCAAAGGAAUUGACGGGGGCCCGCACAAGCGGUGGAGCAUGUGGUUUAAUUCGAUGCAACGCGAAGAACCUUACCAGGGCUUGACAUACUACGAAUCCCUUUGAAAAAAGGGAGUGCCUUCGGGAAUGUAGAUACAGGUGGUGCAUGGCUGUCGUCAGCUCGUGUCGUGAGAUGUUGGGUUAAGUCCCGCAACGAGCGCAACCCUUAUUUUUAGUUACCAAUUCGUUGGGUUCUCUAGAAAGACUGCCGGUGACAAACCGGAGGAAGGUGAGGAUGACGUCAAGUCAGCAUGCCCCUUAUGUCCUGGGCUACACACGUGCUACAAUGGUGGAGACAAAGAGUUGCGAGCUCGCGAGAGUAAGCUAAUCUCAUAAACUUCGCCUAAGUUCAGAUUGCAGGCUGCAACUCGCCUGCAUGAAGUUGGAAUCGCUAGUAAUCGCUGGUCAGCCAUACAGCGGUGAAUCCGUUCCCGGGCCUUGUACACACCGCCCGUCACACCAUGGGAGCUGGUCAUACCCGAAACCGUUUGUUUAACCAUUCGGAGAACGACGUCUAAGGUAGGGCUAGUGANCUGGGGUGAAGUCGUAACAAGGUAA